rnacentral:lncRNA from 1 species
AUUUUGUUUAAUCCAUUUGGUACUUCUUGCAGAAGGAGACUGCCUUUUGUAGUGCAAAAAUCAGUAGAUUUUGUGAACGUAGUGGCUGGUGGUACACUGGAACAGAAGUUGCGCACACCCCAAGUGUUUCAAACAGUUGAAUAAGAAAGAGGAGAACAACGAAUAUGUUUGUGUGCAGCACCGCCUUCAAAAACCUGUUCCACGGUAAAUCAAAUUUUCCCUGUCAGUAUAUACGAACUUAUAUUUUCCACACCUUAAGCUUGAAGUGUGAAAUUUUUCGUUUACUUGACAAACCUUUAUGCUUGGACACAGCUACAGGGCUUAUAUGACUGUAGAGGACGAAGACAACGAAGCCACUCCUAUAUUGAUGGGUUAACAAGCCGAAGAACUUUUCGGUGCGACCUGCCAAAAGCUACUAAUCAAAAGAUCCUCUCCAACUGAACAAGUGCUACCACAAGAAGUGAAGCAAACAAAGUCUAUCCCAACUCUGAACUGAUGAACCUGGUGGUUCAAGUGUUUACAGGCCAGCAGAUUAUGCAAUCCUUGGUGGCAAGACAAGUUCCACCUACAGGAACAUCACCCCGCCUCCUCCUUGAGAAGAAAAGAACAGUCCAUACAAACGGAGGAGCAUUGUUAAUACUGGAAUCUGAAAAGAAAACAGAGGGGUAAGAGACUUGGAUUUCUUUUGUCACCAACUAGAUACAGAUGAUUGCUAUAUAUAUAUAAACAUCAAUAUUAAGAGAUUAUAUUACAGUUAUCAAAAACUAGCACAACUCCAUUCCAUUUUCAUUCACGCUCUAUGCACUGUUGUAUGUAUUUGCAGGCAAGGAAAGCAACUUGCUUCAUCAGCUGUGGGUCUAGGACUUGAACUACAAACCUUCAACUAGAUGUCAAACCCGAGAUGACUCUUUUUUGUUUAUGUUGACAAGCUAAAAUCUUAAGUGAAUGUUGUAGUUGGUUUAGUUGUUUUUUUGUACGUUUGCUUGCCAGAAACAUAUGUAUUAUAGGAAAUAAGCUGAAGGAUAUGUAAUUUCAGAUCAUACUCCAACGUAUAGCAACUAUUUUUUAGCAAUCAGAGUGCUAUGUAUUAUAGCCUGCUGCUACAGCAGCUCCGAUGUAGAUGUAAUAUGUGACUAGCAGCCAUCACCAUUUUAAUGUAGCCUCAUUAUGUAGCAUACAACUACUGUAACAUCUUUUGUGAUAUGAAAUCACCUCUUUUAUGAACAAUUAGUGUUUCUCCAUUAUACACUAAAAUCACCCGCGGCUAGCCGCGGGCACGGCACCUAGUAUAUAUGAAAGUUGAGUUUGAUUUGGGUUUGAAUUGGUGAGAACAAUCUGAUAUGUAUUUGAGUUUGAAUGGUCAAUUUGAUAUAUAUCUAAACAUAUUAGUGGAUAUUUAUGUAUUAAUAUAAACUUUAUAUGUAUUUAUUAUAUAAAUAUAAUUGUAUCGUAAGGCUUAAGCCUUAACUCCUUAAGGCUCAAGGCUCUCACGACAUUAAAGCUCAAGGCUCUCCCGACAAAGCCUCGCAUAUGCUUGACCUUUUAAAAUAUUGAUCAGAAGUGUGAAGUUUCUUUCUCAUAGCUCAGAAGUGCUAAAACUUGAUUGCAGUAACAAAUUAUUUCGGGAGUGUCGUGCUUUUAUAUCUGACUUCUUUUGUAUUAACAUCAUGCUGCUUCAUUUCACGUUUCAGUUUGUAUAAUG